UGAGACUCCGGGAUGCACCCCGAGAACGCCCGGUCACGCUCCGUGGGCGACGGACCCCAGGCGCGCAGGGACCCAGGGCUGGAGAAAUGGCUGAUUCUAGGGCUAGAGCUGAGAAAAUACCACACCCGUCUGGAGACACUUCCAGCGGCAGAAAGUACUUAAAACAAGCUGGAAGGGCGCGGAAGCCAACCUCAAAGAACUCUCCUUGGCCACAGCUGGAACAAUUCGAGAACAAAGUGAAUAACCAUAGUAUUGGAUUAUGAUCCCAACGAUGAAAUAAAGUCCACAGGAGUCAGUACUGAUUAAAAAUACUGUCUUUGAAUUUGCUGCUUGUGCCACCAGGAAUGCACUCCUUUCCUCCUCAUCCUUUUGAUACCACAAUGGCCAUUUCAAGGGUAAACCAAUAGCUCUGGACGGAAAAACCCAGCCAAGUCCAUGACUGCCUUGACUGAUUCUGGCCAUCAAAUGCAGGUGGAAGAGGAGUCACUUCUGUACAUCAAUCACUUCUGAGCUGAGGCAUCGAAAAGCCCACACAUGUUUCUCCAGUCUCCCUGGACGUGUUUGUUCCUGCAGCAAAA